rnacentral:rRNA from 1 species
GACGUAGGGCGCGAGCGUUGUCCGGAUUUAUUGGGCGUAAAGAGCUCGUAGGCGGCUUGUUGCGUCGGCUGUGAAAACCCAUGGCUCAACCGUGGGCUUGCAGCCGAUACGGGCAGGCUAGAGUUCGGUAGGGGAGACUGGAAUUCCUGGUGUAGCGGUGAAAUGCGCAGAUAUCAGGAGGAACACCUAUUGCGAAGGCAGCUCGCUGGGACGUAACUGACGCUGAGACGCGAAAGCGUGGGGAGCAAACAGG